rnacentral:lncRNA from 1 species
UCACUCUGGAUCAGACAAAUUGUGCGGAGCUAGUGGACCAACGAGGAAAGGGCUACCCGUGUGAGACGAGGUGGAGCUAUCCGAGGUACUAGCGAACCAUAAUACCCAAAGGUCCGGUCCUCGUUUAGUAAUUGUAUUCGUCCAGUUGCGACGAGAACGUUACAAAUUUAGCAGGGGAGAGUGUAACAUUCACCUGCUAGCUUGUGG